UAGGAUAUAGUGUAUAAAGCACGUUUCACUUACACUGAAAAAGUCUUUUUUAAGUGUCCUAA
rnacentral:tRNA from 1 species